rnacentral:rRNA from 1 species
UACGGGGGGGGGCAAGCGUUGUUCGGAAUUACUGGGCGUAAAGGGCUCGUAGGCGGCCAACUAAGUCAUACGUGAAAUCCCUCGGCUUAACCGGGGAACUGCGUCUGAUACUGGUUGGCUUGAGUGCAGGAGAGGAACGCGGAAUUCCCGGUGUAGAGGUGAAAUUCGUAGAUAUCGGGAGGAACACCAGUGGCGAAGGCGGCGACCUGGGCCAAUACUGACGCUGAGGUGCGAAAGCGUGGGGAGCAAACAGG